GGCUAGAGCUAAGUGGUGAAGCACCUGCUUUACAUACAGAAAGUCCCAGGUUCAAUCCCUGGCAUUUCCAGGCA